rnacentral:rRNA from 1 species
AGUGAACGCUGGCGGUAGGCCUAACACAUGCAAGUCGAACGGCAGCACAGUAAGAGCUUGCUCUUACGGGUGGCGAGUGGCGGACGGGUGAGGAAUACAUCGGAAUCUACUUUUUCGUGGGGGAUAACGUAGGUAAACUUACGCUAAUACCGCAUACGACCUACGGUUGAAAGCAGGGGAUCUUCUGACCUUGCGCGAUUGAAUGAGCCGAUGUCGGCUUAGCUAGUUGGCGGGGUAAAGGCCCACCAAGGCGACGAUCCGUAGCUGGUCUGAGAGGAUGAUCAGCCACACUGGAACUGGGACACGGUCCAGACUCCUACGGGAGGCAGCAGUGGGGAAUAUUGGACAAUGGGCGCAAGGCUGAUCCAGCCAUAGCGCGUGGGUGAAGAAGGCCUUCGGGUUGUAAAGCCCUUUUGUUGGGAAAGAAAAGCAGCAGGUUAAUACCCAGCUGUUCUGACGGUACCCAAAGAAUAAGCACCGGCUAACUUCGUG